AUCGCAAAGCAAGCAGGCAGACAUCCUAAGGAGCGAGCCAUGUUUAUUGAUGAAGUGGUUUUAGCCGGUGUGAUCACCGUUGGCCUGAUGAUCGGUUUUCUCGGGGCUGUGGGGUAUUUCGUGUGGAAGGAUGCGCAGGGUAAGCGUAAGUCUUAACCGGCGUUUUGGAAGCACAGGUACACCCACGCAAGGUUUGGCGGGCUCAUGGAAGCCCGCCUUUUUUCG
rnacentral:sRNA from 1 species